rnacentral:rRNA from 1 species
UACGUAGGUGGCAAGCGUUAUCCGGAUUUACUGGGUGUAAAGGGCGUGUAGGCGGGAGAGCAAGUCAGACGUGAAAUUCCAGGGCUCAACCCUGGAACUGCGUUUGAAACUGUUCUUCUUGAGUGAUGGAGAGGCAGGCGGAAUUCCGUGUGUAGCGGUGAAAUACGUAGAUAUACGGAGGAACACCAGUGGCGAAGGCGGCCUGCUGGACAUUAACUGACGCUGAGGCGCGAAAGCGUGGGGAGCAAACAGG